rnacentral:miRNA from 14 species
UUUUGUAGUUUUGAGAUCAGCUUUUACUCUGUAGCCUAGGCUGACUGGAACUCACCAUGUAGCUCAGGCUAGCCUCAAACUCAUGGCAGUCCUCCUGCCUCAGUGUC